GCCGAUGUAGCUCAGAUGGCCAGAGCGUGUGAUUUGUAAUCUCAAGGUCGUGGGUUCGAUUCCCUCCAUCGGCU
rnacentral:tRNA from 1 species